GCACAAGAAUAUACUGAAUUGUAUGAUUAACAAAUGUAUUCCUCCCCAUCCGCACAUCUGUGGAACGGAAAAAAUUUCUAUCUGCUUACUUUGGAUUUGGUCAGGUACUUGCUCUGAGAAAUGGAAUGUGGACAAUAGGUACCUUGUGUCAGCUCUGAGUGGAGACGUUGAGGGACAUCCAUGUGUCUUCUGGAUCUCCUGCAGCCCUGCUGAGAUGAGCACAGCCAAAGCCCCUCAGUUUUCCCAUUGAUGAAAACAAGCCAGACAGAGGACAAAGAAAGAUAUGGUGACUUGAAAGUAGGGAUGACUAAUGAAGUUCAGACCAGAAGCCCUGCGAGGAGAUAGGAUGGCUAGGAUAAGACAGCUAAAACGUGUUUCUGAAACACCACCAAGAAGCCAUGUCUGAUUCACUGAAGCCAUUCAUCCACCAAUUUCCAGUUGUGAGAAAAGAUACUUAGAAGAUCAUAAACAGGCUACAUCUGAUAAUAUCUUCAAGGGCACCUAAGAAUAUUUACAUUCCUCUAAGGAGGAUGAUGAGAUCCCGAAUGUGCCUUGCCACUUCAAAGGGUCACUGGAAUACAGCUUUCAGAAAAGACUGCCUGCAAGAUUGUGAAGGAGGUUCAAUUCCCUUCAGGUCCUUCCUUCAGUGCACUUGAAGAUGGCUACAACUUUUAGAAGUCGCCAAAGUUUUUAAUGUAACUUCUAAAUCUUUCUAUUUCUGGGUCCCCCUUGUAAAUUUCCAUAUAGAA